CUGGGCUGCGCUGCCUCUUGUUGUCCCUGUCCUCCACUCCCACUGGCCAGUUGAUGAUCUAGUCUGGGGCCAUUAGCAUCCCUGGCACCGGCCACUGCAGCUUAAUAACCCAUCUCGAUGGCGGAGAUGACGCUCUGGGCUCCACCAUCAAGUCUGGGCUGGCGGGGAAGGACAGCUCCGAGUUAGGGCCAUGGCGAGUUCCCCAGGGCAUCUAAAAGAGGAGCUCCAUCAACAGGGAAAGACAAGCGUGUAAAACACCGUGGUGCUUUUAUCAGUGUUGUGAGCAGGGAUGCAUGGGGGCCACAGAUGGACAUGAUCCGAGGUGCCUGCUGGACAGGGCCCUCUGUCUCCGAAAUCUUACCCUGCACAGGGUGAGCUGCCUCAACUGGGCAUCCGAGGGCCCCCUCCGGCUCCGAUGGCCCCAACCCUAGAGAUGUGGAGACCCACGGAGGAGUGUGCAUCUCGCUGCAUGUUGGAGAAACUUGUCCUAAGGCAGAGGAAUUUGGUGAUGGCCAUCUAGAGCCAAAUGCAUGGCUGGCUCACGGCCUCGCAUUGUGAAAUUCAGUACUGAGAGGCAGAACAGAGUCCCUCAGUGCAACUGUUGUUGGAGGAAGUCAUGGCACAAGUUGGACAGUACGUAGAAUCUACCUGGCACAGAACUUGGGGGGGGUAGCCCCAGGAGGACCCUCCCCACCUGGGUGUCUUUUAUAGAGGGAGGAGUCUUGGGGAGCAGGGUGAUGGAGUAUACACCUGUUAGGGUCCCUUCCUGCCACCCGCCAUUCUGACUUUAUCCCGUGCAUGCCCUUCUCCGGCAGCUUCUUUACCUGGGCUAAAUCCUUAGUACCCCAGCUUUCUUGAAGGGCCCCAAGAGAAUGGGUCCCCAGGAGACUGGUGCACCUGCCAGUCUCAUCUGCACCUCUCCCCCGAACCCUGAGGUCCCUGUGUCCCUCUGUCCACCCCUCUGCUCUGGAUGCGCCGGAUAUGAAUUUUCAGGAGCCUGCCAGGCUCCAGAGGUAUAAAUAGUUUAUGUCAUAUCCAACUAUUAGACACGAUUUUAAUCCCACUUGUGAUGUCGGCUGCAUCGCUUGCAGGAGGGCGGCUUUGAUGUCGCCGGUGGAACUGAGAUCAUAUUGAACAGAUGUUAGAGCUGAGAGUCUGUUAGCGUUUCCAUCAGCAACCUGCGUGUGCGUGUGUGUGCGCGCGUGUGUGUUCUGGGAAG